rnacentral:rRNA from 1 species
UCUAAAAUCAAGGGGGAUAACCCGCUAAAUUAAACCUU